AAAUAAAAAAUGCUAGGGGCCCGUUGUGAUGUUUUUGCAGAUGUGUCUCCCACACCAUCAGUUGAUCAGCCUGAUUGACAGAACUGCUAAGGAUUGCAUCUUUGCAACAUCUGAAAGGAUUGCUAGGGAUAGUUCAUUUCACUACUAAGAUGGGAUUCUAAAACAAAUGGGCGCCAUGGCUAUCAAGUACAUACGUCAUGGUGGACCCCACGGCAUGGGACACAUGUUGUGUGGACAGCAUUGCCCACAAAUGUGGGCCCCAUACAAACAUCUCGGUGGGGCCUAAGGAAGGCUACAAAGGUGGACGUCCACCCA